CAUUCAUGUGGGUCUUUACAUUGGGUGUGUGUUUGUACGGUUACCACUAAAUACAUCUUGCAUUCAUUAGUACUCAGACAACAAUCCUGAGUGCUCCUCUGCCAGACAGGACAAAACAUCAGUUAGAGACUAGUUAUAAAACAUUGCAGUAAAGUUUAGUUUGUUAUUCAAAUGAGUAAAAUGUUUUCUGUUUGAGGAAACCCAGCAGAUCUUCCUGAACCAGUGUGUGGUCCGUCAGGGCUCUCAAACCCCAGUGUCCAACUGUAAAAUUCUCACGAUUUAGAUGCAUCCCGAGUCCAAAUAAAUAAAUAAUAUAUCUGAGUUAUUCAUCCAUCCAUUAUCUGAACUUGUCUUCCUUGCAGGCUCAUGGGGGGCUGGUGCCUAUCUCCAUAGGCCUUCAGGCGAGAGGUCGGGUACACCCUGGGUAGGCUGCACCUGAAUCAAAUGGCUAAGUUACUUCCUCAGCAUGUAGUCAGAUUUCACAGAAUCGUGUUGAUCACCUGAUUAUUUGAUAUUUUUGACAAAUUGAUUUUUCUUUGAAGGACUGAUUGAUUAGCUGGUUUUGAUCAGAUGGUCCUGAAACUUUAGGAGCAGCUGCAGGUGGUAGGUGGUGUUGGAUGAGGCCCAGCCCAGGUUCCGCCCUCUUCAGGUUCGGUUUAAAUAGAGACUGUGCUCUGGGCUGAGUCUCCUCCGGGUCUCUCCUCCUCCUAUCAGCUGCAACCUGGAGCGUUUCCAGAUGGAAAUGAUCGUUGUGUCGGUGUAGAAAAUUAAGCCAUUGAUCAGUCAUGAAUAAUCAGCAGCAGCACUUUUCUCUCCCAGUUAAACCAAUUAGCAGCUUCCCAGCUCCAAUCAAAGCUGCGGCUCAUGAAUGUGAUGAACUCACCAGGAGGCUGCAGCUCGAUCUGGAAAAUGAACAAUUAGGAGGCGCGACUUUAAUUAAGCAAAGACAUCAAGCGUCUCUCGGCCUGAAGGAAGAUCUUUCUUUUCCACCUGGCCUCGGAUCAAAGCGAGGCCUGCAGCGGUGGUCCAGUUUCCUGUGGCUAAACGCUCUGCUCCUUGUAGCCGAACCAAAAACCGACAGUAGCAGGAAACACAACAAACAUUUCCUGCUGAAAGCUGCAGCUUGUUGAAUCAUCAUUACUCAGAUAAAGACCAAAAAACACUUGUUUGUGAGUAGAAACAAAGAGCGGCGCUGCUUUCUGCAGCUUUGAAAGCGGGAUUCAUGGCCGCCAACUGAGUUGAACACGUCUCAUGUUCGUUCAGGGAGUAUGCAGAGUUUCCGGAGCUACAUCCGGCUUUCAUGUCAGCCUCGGCUUUGUGACGGAGCAACUGACAGAGAUUGAGGAGUCGGGUGGCGGCGGUGCUUGCCUGCAGGGCUGAGUGACGCCCGUCUCUGCUAAUGCAGCCUGACGUGCUCCUGAUGCCAGCGUGUCAUUAGAAGCACCUUUAAAGACGCUACGACCUUUGAUUCCUGCUCCUCAUCCUGACAGCUCCACUCUCAGCUCCGCUCCGAAGCCUCUUGCCUCUUUUGUGGGAAGUUUUGCAACAAUUAGCAUAAAUGUUUCAUGUCCCUGCGCCCUGCGUCGCCCCAUGCUGCAGGAGCAGGAUCCGGCUGGAAAGCGACGAGUCUUUGUAAAGUGUACUUUUCUCUCCGAGAUGAAGCAGCGCAGGCAAACAGCUGAACAUAUGUUCCCUUUGUGGAAUCUUUUAUUGAACAUAUUUGGGGGCAAAGACUGCAGAGUUUGAUUCAUCGAGUGUAAAUCUCCACACUUGUUCCCAUUAUUUAUUUCACAGCAACUUAUUUACAUUCGAGAUGGAGCGGUUCACCGAGGGAAUGGCAGCUCCCUGCUGACGCUCUAACUUUCAGGCAGGAAUGGCGUUGGUGGUAAUUGAGAGAAUUGCAAGAAAAGCUCACGGAAUUGAGCGAACCCUCUGCCAGGGAAUUUGUGGCGACAGAGAGCGUCGUUCGAUUAACAGUUGUGUAAGAAACCUUCAGAGAAUCGAACAUUUGUUGUCUACAGAAACUUACAAUGAACUAAAAAGCGGUUUGACUGAACUUGGAGCGCUAGCAACUGCUAAUUUACACAGAGAUGAAGAUCGUCGGUUCUUCAUAAGGCGAGUUCGUUCAGGCGGAGAGGCAGACUGGCUAUUGAAGUUACCAGAGAGCACAUAGACUUCCUUAUGAAGCAAGGACAUACAAUCAAAAAACUGGCAAAAUGCUGGGAUGUUCCUUGUCGUUUUUGUACAAGAAGUCAAAGCUGAUGGGCCUUCCCAUAAGAAGUAGACUGUCUGCCUUAGAUGACGAUCAGCUGCAAGAGCACAUUGCAGGGCCAAUACCCAAAUUCUGGGAAUGAGAUGAUCAGGGCACUGCUACGUGCACAAGGUGUGACUGUCACACGGGCCGGGGUACGUGAGGUGUUGACAAGGACAAACCCAACUUCUGCUGCAAGAAGGUGGAGCCGGACCGUUGCAAGACCGGUUUACCAUACGGUGCCAUCGAUGGACACUCGCGACUGAUUACCUACCUCAGCUGCAGUACAAACAAUAGGGCAACAACAGUAUUUUCUCAGUCUUUGAAAGCAACAUCUCUGUAUGGACUACCAUCAAGAGUCAGAUCAGACCAUGGGGGUGAAAACAUGGUUGUUGCUUUAUUCAUGCAUCUUGUUCGAGGACUUGAACACAGAGGCUUCAUAAUAGGAGAAUCAGUUCACAAUCAGCGAAUAGAACACCUUUGGCGUGAUGUAUUUUUGCAUGUGCUGCAGCAUUUUUACCAUACAUCCUACAGUCUAGAGGAUUCAGAUCAUUUUAACCCAGAUAAUGAUAUCCACAGACUCUUUACAUAUUGUGUAUCUAUCUGAGAUCCAAAAGAGGCUGGGACACUUCAGACAGGCUUGGAACCACCACGGUUUGCGAACAGAAAAUAAUUACACACCAACUCAACUUUGGACAGAGGGCAUGCUCAAAACAUUGAAAUUGACAACGCAGCUGUCAUUAAUAUGUUUGGGGAAAAUUCCUACAGCAGCAACAACAUUGAGGCUAUUCUAGCUCAGCAUGUGCCAACACUUGAUGAUGAAGACUUCCCAGCUGUGUCUGUAGAGCCACCUCAACUCACCCUGACUCAGGAACAGCAAUCAUCAGUGCACAAUGCAACCCAUCACAUUUCUGAUCUUAAGAUAAAAUAUCAGGCCUGUUGUACAGCAGUUAACAGUAUUUUACAAACUCAGGCAUGAGACACAAAAAUCCUCAGAACAAAGCAGGAUCCACUUUAUGUUAAGAUGACAAGGUUUAUUGUACCACAGAUAUUUCAAAUACCUCUUCAACUUCCUAAGCCUUAUUACAGCAAUUAAACAUUUUCAUUCUAGUAACAACUUCACUUAACAGGAGUUUUUGAUGAAUAUAAUCUAUGUACAGUUUAGUGUAUUAUAGGUGUAAAUGAAUAUGUUUUUCCUUCAAUUCAUUCCAUAUGUUUUGCUCAUUUGAAUUUUUGAUUUGGCAUCAGAGACUGUUGAAAAUGACAGUAUAAACUAGCAAAACAUCUAGGUGUUAGACAAUGAUGUGCCAUUAAAACUUCAGUGCUUUUAGCCCAUGUGGCGAUGCAAAAUAGGUUUAACAUCUUUCCUAUAUUCUUUCUCUGACUUUUUAAUGAUGGGCCUAAAAUAUGUUAGUUGAAAUUCUUAAAUGGACAAUUAAGUGCUUUCUUUUAAAAAAAAAAAAAAAAAAAAAGGUUUUGAAAUGGUUACUUGACUUAUCUUUUGUGUCUCAUAAAGAAAAAAGCUUGUUCAAGGCUACUAACAAUGCACAUAUUUCUGUGUAACGAAGGCGAUUGCUAUGAACAACUUCCUUGUCUUCGCAGUGGAUUUCCUUGAAGAGGUUAAGCCAUUCAUCAAUAAUGAGGUUAAUGAUAAUGUAGAACUGCAGAAACAUGAAUAUAUUGAAGGCAAAACCAUUCGUGCCUUCACGGUGAGGAAUUAACACAAGACACGUUCACAGGGGGCAAAAGGAACCCGAUAAAAACAAGAAAAGGAAGAAUGGAAAAGAGCUGAGCCCCAAACAUCUGUUGUGUAAAAGUAUGUGAUCAGAGUCUCGUUUGAUUUGAUAAAUGUUUUAUAAUCUCACCAAUUUACACAUUAACAGAAUUGUACGUUUUUUGUGGCAAGUGCUGACCCUGGUCCGGAUGUUUAAAUUCUUCAUGUUGUUGGAGAAUAGUUGU